AUUGAACGCUGGCGGCAGGCCUAACACAUGCAAGUCGAGCGGAGCGGCGGACGGGUGAGUAAUGCCUAGGAAUCUACCUGGUAGUGGGGGAUCACGUCAGGAAACGGGCGCCUAUCCCGCAUAAUAUCAGACGAGCCUCGGUCGGAUUAGCUAGUUGGGGGGGUAAAGGCCUACCAAGGCGACGAUCCGUAACUGGUCUGAGAGGAUGAUCAGUCACACUGGGACUGAGACACGGUCCAGACUCCUACGGGAGGCAGCAGUGGGGAAUAUUGGACAAUGGGCGAAAGCCUGAUCCAGACAUGCCGCGUGUGGGAAGAAGGUCUUCGGAUUGUAAAGCACUUUAAGUUGAGAGGCGUUACCAACAGAAUAAGCACCGGCUAACUUCGUGCCAGCAGCCGCGGUAAUAC
rnacentral:rRNA from 1 species